UUCCUUUUUUUCCAAAAACUCAAACUCUGAUUCUUCUGAGUCGAGUACUAAAGAGACUCAUAGACGAGGGGCCACUGAUAGAUGGAAAGGGAAAAGAGGAGUUCAGAGUACUUUGUGCUAAGUUUCAGUCUGAUUUACCGUCAGAAGAGUCCUUAUAGUAUCGUCCAACUCAAGGAUGUGAUACCUCAAGUAGUGCUCUUGUUGCUACUAAAGACUAUCUUCAUUCAUUGGAGAAUAAUCUAUUAGGAUUGGUACACCAUUUACAGUAAAGGACUGCCAAUGAUACACAGAGAGAAGUAGAUACAAUGUCUCACUGGUUCCGUCACAUUGCAGAGGGAGAGCCUUGUGAUACUUACCUUAAACUAUCAUCAGGUAAUCUGGCUAGAACAUCUGAGAUAAUAGAGACACAGCAGAGUACCUUUAACGGGGAUGAUGCUCUCUGUGUCCAGAACCUUCAAUCUAUUGCUGGCUACACAUGUAUAUUCACUCAGCAGUGGCAAGCACUCUCUCUCCCUCUUACUCUCUUACAUUUAGUGGUGAACCAAACAUUUAUUAUUAAUUUAUUAUUAAUAGGAUUUAUUGACAAGAGUAGAGGAAGCUGUUGAGAGGUUCUUGUAUUGGGAUGAAGGAGUAAUGAUAUAUGAAGCAGUUACUUCAAGUCCCAGUAGUCAUGAUGUCCCAGUCACUGGUGGAGUAGCAGAUGAAGUGUUUGACAGUGGAGUGAGUAGUAUCAGUGGUAGCAGUACUGGAGGAGGAGGGAAUACUAGCAGCUGUCAUUCAAGAGAUGAGUCAACACCAGAUACUACUAAUGCUCAUGGUGGUAAUUGCUGGUCACCCUCAAGGAGGAACAUUGGUCUUGAUGAUUCUAUUAGUGAGAAGUGGGCUCAAGCUAGCAGCAACUGCUCAGAUGCCAAAGAAUAUCUCGAGAUGAUUUGUAGAUCUAGAGAUUUACCCGAUGAACUGGCACAAUUUGAUCUAAGGAAGGAACAAGAACUGAGACAGGUUUUUUUUGAUCUUGCUGCUUGACAAAUGGAGUAAAAUGAUAAAUGAAUUUUCAUGUAAAUACAGUUUGUCUCUAAUAAUAACACAGUAACAACAGCAGGAGGAAGAGGAGACAACAAGUGAAGAUUGUUCCUUCAUCAAGAAAUGAUUUGUGAAAAACUAUUAUUUGCUUAUAAUAAUUUCCUUUUAAUAUUUUUAACGUCAAAAUUGUAUUGCUUUAUGAAUUAUAAACAAAAUCAUUAAUGUUAA